rnacentral:lncRNA from 1 species
AUUAAUGUCUGCUCCAUUGAAGAAUCCAAUUAUAUAUGCAUCUGUGCAUUUUCUUUUUAUGCGACAGGUAUGUGAUCUUAAAAUUAGGUUCGGGAGUUGCUUUUAAAUUUAAGCUGGCUUCGGGUGUCGGUAAUAAAAAAGAUUCUUCCAUUUUCUUGGCAAUUCUUCCAUUUUAGGUAUGAAAUUAGGCAUAACUGUCUGAGAUUUGCCUUGCGUAUGUCUGAACUGAGGUUCAAAUAAAAAAGUUCGAAGUUUGCUUGCAUAAGCAAUGCGCUUCAAUCGUGUAUAUCUGAAGUGGUUAUACUUACAAAAAUUUCUUUCGGCUAUCUGAAGUGGUUAAACUUACAAAAAAUUCUAAAUUUCGGCUAUUGCCUUAAAUGAGGAUCUCAAAAUCGGCCAUCUAUGCACUUGCCCCUGUGAUGUGGGAGGUGGAUCACUGUGAUGUGGGAGGUGGAUCACUG